AUUCAAAUGAUGAGUCUCAAAUAAGACGAAACUUGCGUCCCAAAU
rnacentral:hammerhead_ribozyme from 1 species